UACGGAGGGUGCGAGCGUUGUCCGGAAUCAUUGGGCGUAAAGGGCGCGUAGGUGGCGGCUUAAGCGUGCGGUGAAAGCUCGGGGCUCAACCCCGAGUCGGCCGUGCGAACUGAGUCGCUUGAGCACUGUAGAGGCAGGCGGAAUUCCGGGUGUAGCGGUGGAAUGCGUAGAGAUCCGGAAGAACACCGGUGGCGAAGGCGGCCUGCUGGGCAGUAGCUGACACUGAUGCGCGACAGCAUGGGGAGCAAACAGG
rnacentral:rRNA from 1 species